rnacentral:rRNA from 1 species
UGGGGAAUUUUGGACAAUGGGGGAAACCCUGAUCCAGCCAUCCCGCGUGUGCGAUGAAGGCCUUCGGGUUGUAAAGCACUUUUGGCAGGAAAGAAACGUCGCGGGUUAAUACCCCGCGAAACUGACGGUACCUGCAGAAUAAGCACCGGCUAACUACGUGCCAGCAGCCGCGGUAAUACGUAGGGUGCAAGCGUUAAUCGGAAUUACUGGGCGUAAAGCGUGCGCAGGCGGUUCGGAAAGAAAGAUGUGAAAUCCCAGAGCUUAACUUUGGAACUGCAUUUUUAACUACCGGGCUAGAGUGUGUCAGAGGGAGGUGGAAUUCCGCGUGUAGCAGUGAAAUGCGUAGAUAUGCGGAGGAACACCGAUGGCGAAGGCAGCCUCCUGGGAUAACACUGACGCUCAUGCACGAAAGCGUGGGGAGCAAACAGGAUUAGAUACCCUGGUAGUCCACGCCCUAAACGAUGUCAACUAGCUGUUGGGGCCUUCGGGCCUUGGUAGCGCAGCUAACGCGUGAAGUUGACCGCCUGGGGAGUACGGUCGCAAGAUUAAAACUCAAAGGAAUUGACGGGGUCGAA